rnacentral:misc_RNA from 1 species
UCCGGCUUAUCACCGGCAGUCCCUUUAGAGUGCCCAACUGAAUGAUGGCAACUAAAGGCGAGGGUUGCGCUCGUUGCGGGACUUAACCCAACAUCUCACGACACGAGCUGACGACAGCCAUGCAGCACCUGUCACCAAGUUCCUUGCGGCACAGUUUCCUUUCGGAAGCCUUCUUGGGAUGUCAAACCCUGGUAAGGUUCUUCGGUUAUCAUCGAAUUAAAGAACAUGAUCCGCUACUUGUGCGGGUCCCCGUCAAUUCCUUUAUGUUUUAGUCUUGCGACCGUACUCCACAGGUGGGAUACUUAACGCGUUAGCUUCGCUACUGAAGGGGUCGAUACCUCCAACAGCUAGUAUCCAUCGUUUACGGCGUGGACUAC